rnacentral:rRNA from 1 species
CGCGGCCUAUCAGCUUGUUGGUGAGGUAAUGGCUCACCAAGGCGACGACGGGUAGCCGGCCUGAGAGGGCGACCGGCCACACUGGGACUGAGACACGGCCCAGACUCCUACGGGAGGCAGCAGUGGGGAAUAUUGCACAAUGGGCGAAAGCCUGAUGCAGCGACGCCGCGUGAGGGAUGACGGCCUUCGGGUUGUAAACCUCUUUCAGCAGGGAAGAAGCGAAAGUGACGGUACCUGCAGAAGAAGCACCGGCUAACUACGUGCCAGCAGCCGCGGUAAUACGUAGGGUGCGAGCGUUGUCCGGAAUUAUUGGGCGUAAAGAGCUUGUAGGCGGUUUGUCGCGUCUGCCGUGAAAAUUCGAGGCUCAACCUCGAACUUGCGGUGGGUACGGGCAGACUAGAGUGUGGUAGGGGAGACUGGAAUUCCUGGUGUAGCGGUGAAAUGCGCAGAUAUCAGGAGGAACACCGAUGGCGAAGGCAGGUCUCUGGGCCACUACUGACGCUGAGAAGCGAAAGCAUGGGGAGCGAACAGGAUUAGAUACCCUGGUAGUCCAUGCCGUAAACGUUGGGAACUAGGUGUGGGUCUCAUUCCACGAGAUCCGUGCCGCAGCUAACGCAUUAAGUUCCCCGCCUGGGGAGUACGG